GACGAACGCUGGCGGCGUGCUUAACACAUGCAAGUCGAACGCUGAAGCCCUUCGGGGUGGAUGAGUGGCGAACGGGUGAGUAACACGUGGGUAAUCUGCCCUGCACUCUGGGAUAAGCCUUGGAAACGGGGUCUAAUAACGGAUAGGACACAUCGCCACAUGGUGUGUGGGUGGAAAGUUCCGGCGGUGCAGGUUGAGCCCGCGGCCUAUCAGCUUGUUGGUGGGGUGAUUGCCUACCAAGGCUACGACGGGUAGCCGGCCUGAGAGGGUAACCGGCCACACUGGGACUGGGACACGGCCCAGACUCCUACGUGAGGCAGCAGUGGGGAAUCUUGCGCAAUGGGCGAAAGCCUGACGCAGCAACGCCGCGUGGGGGAUGACGGCCUUCGGGUUGUAAACCUCUUUCGACCGGGACGAAGGAUUCGUUUGACGGUACCGGUAGAAGAAGCACCGGCUAACUACGUGCCAGCCGCCGCGGUAA
rnacentral:rRNA from 1 species